AUUUUGUUCAGGUUAGACAAAGGUGUCAUAGUGUAUAUUUGUGAUGGCCGUGGGGUUAGAGAUAUAUAUGAAACAGAUGGAAGUGGUGCAAUUGCAGCCUCAGAACCGCUUGCUGUUCUGGUAUGCUUUCUUAUACUGAAUCCAGGAAUCACGACGUAACAUUUGUUGAUACUUGGAGUAUGUAACUUGAGCAGUUUUAUGAACUCCCAGUUGUCUUGAAGGCUCUAAUGAUUCAAUCUGAUGUCUUCUCUGUGUAUGAGCGGUCACAAACUCUCACUCUUUCAAUUUCCAAUAUAAUAUGGUUGCAGUAUAAAAGAGCAUGUGAUUAAGCUUCUGCAAAUUUCUUCAUUCUUACUAUUUGUUCUCCCGUGGUAUUAAGUUUCCACCACAUCAUCAUUGUUUCUCCCUGUGUGUUUGGGCAAAGAGCUUUACUUUUCAGGGAUUUUAUAGUUAUGUGCUUGAUUUCCAUGUUUUCAUCACCAAACCUUUGAUCAGGAACCACUCACUUUGUUCUGAGUUUCAAUUAGGUGAACAAGGGAACUGCAAGCGCAAGUGAAAUAUUGGCUGGUGCAUUGAAAGACAAUAAACGUGCUGUUUUAUAUGGAGAACCCACAUUUGGGAAAGGCAAGAUUCAAUCAGUUUUUCAGCUAUCUGAUGGUUCUGGCUUGGCUGUUACAGUCGCUCGGUAUGAGACACCUGCUCAUUCAGGUAUUGAUCAGGUUUGUCACGAUUCUUUAUGCCAGCAUCUCUCUCCCUCAUUCUUGGUGUGAUUCCAGACCAUCCACUGCCUAAAUCUUUUCCGAAGGAUGAGGGGGGUUUCUGUGGCUGCCUCCAAGACUCUGAAUCUACUUGCUACGUGAAUAGGGGGCAGCUAUUUGCAAGAUUCUUGUGUUUUGACAUUAUUUUUGGGUUAAAGACUGCAUAAUUCGUUCUCAAGUGUAGUCAAUUCAUUCUUUUGGUGCUUCAGUGAUCCUUGCUGCCGCUGGUGUUAGUUUCGCUCAAGCAAACUUCAUCUUCAGUAUCCUAAAAAAGGAUGUAAAAACAGCCUUUAUUUAGUUGCAUAUGAAAAUGAAAAGAGAAAGUUUCACUUCUGAGAUUUAUAGUUUUUGCCGAGUCCAAACAAGAUACCUGUCUUUAAUUGGUCAUGGCUGACAUUUGGUUGAAACUUAGAUGCCCUGGUGUGCUCUUUCCCUGUUCUUUAGAAAUUUUGAACUCAAUCAUAGUUAUUCACGUGAUGGUUGAAAUAUUUUGGCACACAGUUAUUCACUUA